UUUCCAGUAGCACCUUAGAGACCAACUAAGUUUGUUAUUGGUAUGAGCUUUCAUGAAGAAGUGUGCAUGCACACGAAAGCUCAUACGAAGAACAAACAUAGUUGGUCUCUAAGGUGCUACUGGAAG
rnacentral:miRNA from 1 species